CGCUACCGGAGACAAAGGAAUGAUAAAUGGGCCGAUUCGAGAUCUGAUACGGAUGCCAGGUGAAGAGGAGGUGGAGAAACAAACAGCAAUGAUCAAUAGACUGGAAAGCUUACCGAACAAAAGUCCAGCAGGGGGCGCUCGCCUCUAACCCGGUAUUGGGUGACCUACGUUCCUGUGGUGGUGAACAUGACUGCGAGUUCUCCAGAAGAACAAAUGCUGGGAACUAAAUGAAGAGGAAUGAAUGAAAAGUGGUGUCCAAUCUGUGAUAUUAUUGGGGACCUGAUUAUGGUUCAGAACGAUCUAUAAAACAUAACUGACUACUAAAAUCAGAUUGUCAAA